UCCUUGGUGGUCCAGUGGUUAGGACUUGGCACUUUCACUGCCCAGGCCCAGGUUCGAUCCCUGGUCAGGGAA